rnacentral:miRNA from 1 species
UCGCGAGCAGGCUCGCUCCCACAGUUGAUCGUAUUCCUCUGACGGAACGCGGUUGAAUGUGGGAGCGAGCCUGCUCGAAAGCGC